rnacentral:lncRNA from 1 species
CGUGUUGUGUUGAUGUGGCGCCCGCAGGACAUGGAUAGAGUCAAAAUUGUAAUUAUAAAUUUGAUAAGAUUAUUAAUGAAAAUAAAUUUUUUUGAGGAGUCUAAAUGUAAAAAAAAAGUACUUUAAAAAUUUAAAGUGAAAAAAAAAUCCUAUUUAUCCGAUGCUUAAAACAGGAAGAAAAAAAAAAGGCCAAUUUGCAUAAAAAAUUCACUUAUUUUGGGCUUUUGCAAAACCGGGCCACCUUUUUCGUUUUUGUAGAUUCGGUCCGCUUUUUCGUCCGCCUGACCAAAAUACCCUUAUUACUUUUUUUCUUUCCUCUUUCUCUCUCCUCUCUGUUUCUAUCAUUCUGUUUUUUUUUCUCGCCGCGCUCGCCGUUCUCCCUCGAAUCCUCCUGCGUCGUCCCCAUCACCGUCGCGUUCCCGAACCGCACCCUCCUCGCUCCCCUCGGCGACCCGCACCCCUCGACGGCCCCCACGGCCGCUCCUCCGCCGCCGGCCGGAGCGAUUCUGUUUUUUUUUCUCGCCGCGCAUUCUCCCUCGAAUCCUCCUGCGCCGUCCCCAUCACCGUCGCGUUCCCGAACCGCACCCUCCUCGCUCCCCCCGGCGACCCGCACCCCUCGACGGCCCCCACGGCCGCUCCUCCGCCGCCGGCCGGAGCGACCCCCGCCGGCCGGCGGCGGAGGAGCGGCCGUGGGGGCCGUCGAGGGGUGCGGGUCGCCGGGGGGAGCGAGGAGGGUGCGGUUCGGGAACGCGACGGUGAUGGGGACGGCGCAGGAGGAUUCGAGGGAGAACGACGGCCGCGGCGAGAAAAAAAAAAGAGCGAUAGAAUUACACCAUUACACCAUUACCAUUACACCAUUACCAUUACACUAUUACACCAUUACUAUUACACCAAUACACCAUUACAAUUACACCAUUACCAUUGCACCAUUACACUAUUACACCAUUACCAUUAUACCAUUACACCAUUACACCAUUUACGCCAUUACAUCAUUACACCGUUACACCAUUUGCCGACGGAGAAGAACACGCGCAGGUCUUUUUCAUUUUCUUCUUCUUUUUCAUUUUCUUCUUCUUCCUCCUGCGGAGGACCUCGACUCCCUCGAUCUCCGCUGAUGGGGGCGCCUCUUCUGCCGCCGCCUCGGCGGCGCGCGGCGGCGCCGAUGGCGUCGUCGAACGAGGAGACGUUUUA